rnacentral:rRNA from 1 species
UGGGGAAUUUUGGACAAUGGGCGAAAGCCUGAUCCAGCAAUGCCGCGUGUGUGAAGAAGGCCUUCGGGUUGUAAAGCACUUUUGUCCGGAAAGAAAUCCUUGGCUCUAAUACAGUCGGGGGAUGACGGUACCGGAAGAAUAAGCACCGGCUAACUACGUGCCAGCGGCCGCGGUAAUACGUAGGGUGCAAGCGUUAAUCGGAAUUACUGGGCGUAAAGCGUGCGCAGGCGGUUUGCUAAGACCGAUGUGAAAUCCCCGGGCUCAACCUGGGAACUGCAUUGGUGACUGGCAGGCUAGAGUAUGGCAGAGGGGGGUAGAAUUCCACGUGUAGCAGUGAAAUGCGUAGAGAUGUGGAGGAAUACCGAUGGCGAAGGCAGCCCCCUGGGCCAAUACUGACGCUCAUGCACGAAAGCGUGGGGAGCAAAACAGGAUUAGAUACCCCUGGUAGUCCACGCCCCUAAACGAUGUCAACUAGUUGUUGGGGAUUCAUUCCUUAGUAACGUAGCUAACGCGUGAAGUUGACCGCCUGGGGAGUACGGUCGCAAGAUUAAAACUCAAAUGAAUUGACGGGGUCAUAGCUG